UACUUUUCGGAUGCAUGGUGAACUUCGAACUGUGAGUCUCUGUCUUGAUAUCCUUUUUUAGCUUGCUAUCACUAGAAACACACAAUUUAUCCUGGAACCUGAGCAACCCAUUGGCAGAUAUUCAGAAUUCUGAGUUCAAACCCUGUUCUGUAUCUUUUCUGAGAGCUACUAGAGUGAGAUCGGUCAGUUGAGCUUCCCUUAUUAUCUGGAUUAAUUCGGAUUGAACUGUUAAAUGGGCUAGACUUGUGGCCCUUUCCAAGUUUUAAAGCUGUAUAUGCUGCGUAGCCUUUAUCAUCCUACACUCAGAAACCAUUAUGUGAGUUAACAUACCUGCAUUCUUCCUGUUGAGAACGUAGGUUACCCUUGCUCGGGUGGUAUAGGAUUUUGCAAUUGUAAUCCUUGAGGAGUUCUAGCUAAUGCCUCUGACGUAUGUUGAGAUUCUUUUGGGU
rnacentral:lncRNA from 1 species